CCUACGGGAGGCAGCAGUGGGGAAUAUUGCACAAUGGGGGGAACCCUGAUGCAGCGACGCCGCGUGAGUGAAGAAGUAUUUCGGUAUGUAAAGCUCUAUCAGCAGGGAAGAAAAUGACGGUACCUGACUAAGAAGCCCCGGCUAACUACGUGCCAGCAGCCGCGGUAAUACGUAGGGGGCAAGCGUUAUCCGGAUUUACUGGGUGUAAAGGGAGCGCAGACGGCUGUGCAAGUCUGGAGUGAAAGGCGGGGGCCCAACCCCCGGACUGCUCUGGAAACUGUAAAGCUGGAGUGCAGGAGAGGUAAGCGGAAUUCCUAGUGUAGCGGUGAAAUGCGGAGAUAUUAGGAGGAACACCAGUGACGAAGGCGGCUUACUGGACUGCAACUGACGUUGAGGCUCGAAAGCGUGGGGAGCAAACAGGAUUAGAUACCCCAGUAGUC
rnacentral:rRNA from 1 species